ensembl:lncRNA
UAUAAACCUGUUGUUAGACAGUUCUUUUAAGAAAAGGACAUCAAUAUAGCCCUAAAUUCAGUUCAAUUUAAUACAAGAUUUGGUACCACUUUACUUAAAGCCUUUAUGUAUAAUACUUUAUAUAAAAAAAAUGUAAUACAACAAUUAUGCCUUUUAAUGCACCUUACUGUAUAUGCAUUGUACAAUCUCAGAAAUGGUUGGUUAGGAAGGAUGAAAAAGAAACCUUGGGAGGAACCAAAACUCAGGGAGGGAGAGCACAUCAUCUACACAUGUGAAUAUAUAUAUAACUUCCUGACCUAUAUGCAUUGGCACACUUUCCUCCCUGCAUGGUGACAAACCAUGUCAAACUGAUCCAGAACAAAGCAAAUUCACAUUUUGCUUGCAUCAUUGUAUUACAACAUAAUGCUUUCCUUCCUAGAAUUUAUUUUAUUUUUAUUAAACCUAAAUUCAGAGGUCCACCCAGCAUUGUGUCGUGUACCAGUCAGUCUGUCCAGGUCUUUCUUGCUGUCAUCUAGGGGCCUCACAUAACAUGUACAUGACAUCUGAUCCUUACUGAGACAAAGACGAUUCAAAGAUGAUGCAUUUACUUCAUUGUGUUAGAACUUGAAUCUGUGCAACCCAGAAACACUGAAACCAAGCCAAAACAUUUCAUACAGAACACAAAGUGCCUUAAAACCUCCUACACACUGACACAAAACCUUUCAAACUCUUAUUUCACAUAAUCCACUGACACAUAGAUGGCCUCUCUCAGGGGAACAGGUGGGUCUAUAUAUCUAAACUCAACUUGCAAUGAUUCCCUGUGAGAGGAACACACAGAAAUCGUGAGAAUUCAUCCAGCCGUGAAGAUGUUGGCAGUUGUGGUUGUUUUAUUUCUAGCGGUCGGCGUGAGUGAUGGCGUGAUUUUGAGUAAAUGUGAGCUGAAGCAGCAGCUUGAAAGAGGCCUUACCCUGCAAAUCCCCAAUUCUGCAGACGUGCUGGCACAGAUCGUGUGUCACGUCCAGCUGACCUCUGGCUUCAAUACCAGCGCCAUCAAGACGAUCGCUGAGCCACAAGAGCCUCGUAGUGGUCCCGGUCCUCGCCGUGUUAGGUCUCCAGGAGGAAAUAAUAAAGGAGGCUCUUCCAGUAAUGAAAGUGGUGAGGACAAAGAUGAGGUCUGGACCCUGUACGGCUUGUUCCAGCUUAGCGACCAUGUGGUGUGCAGCUCUACUCAAAGUCGUGCACUGAACCUCUGCAGACUGUCCUGUGACAAGCUGAUUGACGAUAACACCAGUGAUGACAUAGCCUGCGUCCAGACCCUUAUAAAUGCAGUAACUUCGCUGAUUCCUGACCCUGAAACUGCUAGACACAUCCAUGAAAUGAUCUCGCUGAUCCACCAGCCAGAGUGUAUGGCCAUGAAGGCCACUUCGUACUUUGCCAGCUGUCAAACACCCUGAAGUCCUGACCUCUAUUAGCACCCUGCUUUACUUUUGCAUUUAUGUGCAAUUAUAUUCGUAGCUUUCUUGUAAGACAACAAAAUCCCAGCACAAGUUGCUUGUGUUUUGUACUAGCCUAUAUGAGUCAUUAAAACCAUUUGAAACGCAGUGGUGUGCUCAUUAAUUUAAUUAAGGCCCUUGUGUGUCUCUGCAG